UAGCUGACGAUGGAAUCUUUCUA
rnacentral:miRNA from 1 species